rnacentral:lncRNA from 1 species
UGCUGUAGAGGGAUAGGGCAGAUAAAGAUCAGCUGACGUUUGUUGUGUUUGACGUCACCAGUCGUCUGCUCAGCGCUGUUUCUAACGUACUUGUGUGGCUGUUGGCUGUCCGUUGCCUCUUCUAUCCUUGUGCGCAUGUUUCUUGUGGAGCAAAGCUUGGAGAUGAAAGUGUCCGAUGGUGUCGGCGCUGGCUAUUAUUUCAGCCCCAGCGAAAUGUUGUUGUCAACCUCGGAGUUCAGCGUGUCCUGGUCAGUCGUCUGUCAGCAGCAGGCUGUGGCGGACGUGCCAGGCGGUGCUGACCGUAGUACAUGGGUGCCACUGUUGGCACAAGGCAGGGAAAAAACAUCAUACACAGACCAGUCCGUCUCGCCAGAUGUCCUGUGAUAUGAAGGAGGACCUCUUGUGCUCAGUCUGUCCAGAAUCACUGACGUGGAUGUCCCCAUGUCCCGCUCCAUCCUCUGCUACCUCCACUCAAUGUUGAAUGUGAAAGGAGGUCCACUGUAUGUGAUCAGCCUCACCCUGAGAAUGUAAAGACGCUGUUUCCAAAAAUAAACCUUGUCGGUAAAAGGUUUCUGCAUUUCGUGAUUCACAUCAAGUUAGCAUCCAUCCUACUAAACAUCAUCCAAACAGCAAACGUUCAAAAUAAAAUUCCAAUCAAAUAUCAA